rnacentral:rRNA from 1 species
GACGAACGCUGGCGGCGUGCUUAACACAUGCAGGUCGAACGGAAAGGCCCUGCUUUUGUGGGGUGCUCGAGUGGCGAACGGGUGAGUAACACGUGAGUAACCUGCCCUUGACUUUGGGAUAACUUCAGGAAACUGGGGCUAAUACCGGAUAGGAGCUCCUGCUGCAUGGUGGGGGUUGGAAAGUUUCGGCGGUUGGGGAUGGACUCGCGGCUUAUCAGCUUGUUGGUGGGGUAGUGGCUUACCAAGGCUUUGACGGGUAGCCGGCCUGAGAGGGUGACCGGCCACAUUGGGACUGAGAUACGGCCCAGACUCCUACGGGAGGCAGCAGUGGGGAAUAUUGCACAAUGGGCGGAAGCCUGAUGCAGCAACGCCGCGGGCGGGAUGACGGCCUUCGGGUUGUAAACCGCUUUCGCCUGUGACGAAGCGUGAGUGACGGUAAUGGGUAAAGAAGCACCGGCUAACUACGUGC